UGUGGGAGCUGGCUUGCCAGCGAUGGGGCCGGGUCAGUCAAUAUAUUUAGUGCCUGAUUCACCGCCAUCGCUGGCAAGCCAGCUCCCACA
rnacentral:misc_RNA from 1 species